GAUUAACGCUGGCGGCGUGCCUAAGAUACGCAAGUCGAGAGCAGUUCGGCUGCUCGGCGGACGGGUGAGUAACGCGUUGAUAUCUACCUCAAAGUCAGGCAUACUCCCGGGAAACUGGGAAUAAUUCCUGAAGUCCCAAUACCAUUUAGGUCAUUGGGUAAAGCUCCGGCGCUUUGAGAAGAGUCUGCGUGCUAUCAGCUUGUUGGUGAGGUAAUGGCUCACCAAGGCUAUGACGGCUAGGGGACGUGAGAGCGUGACCCCCCACAAUGGGACUGAGACACGGCCCAUACUCCUACGGGAGGCAGCAAUUUGGAAUAUUGCACAAUGCCCUAACGGGUGAUGCAGCGACGCCGCAUGGACGAAGAAGGCCUUCGGGUUGUAAAGUCCUAAGACAGAGGAAUAAAUCUUGAAUUAACUCUGUUAUUAGUCCUGACUAACUAUGUGCCAGCAGUCGCGGUAAUACAUAGAGGGCAAGCGUUAUCCGGAAUCACUGGGCAUAAAGAGUGCGUAGGCGUUCCAGUAAGUCUUUGGUUAAAUCUUUCCGCUUAACGGAAAAACUGUCAAAGAAACUACUGGAAUAGAGGCAGGUAGGGGCAGACGGAACUGGUGGUGUAGGGGUGAAAUCCGUUGAUAUCACCGGGAACACCGAAAGCGAAGGCAGUCUGCUAGGCCUGUUCUGACGCUGAGGCACGAAAGCGUGGGUAGCGAAUCGGAUUAGAUACCCGAGUAGUCCACGCCGUAAACGAUGAUCACUAGAGAUCAGAUGGCACGACCCCACUGGUCUCGAAGCUAAUGCGUUAAGUGAUCCGCCUGGGAAGACGCCCGCAAGGGU
rnacentral:rRNA from 1 species